rnacentral:rRNA from 1 species
AGUGAACGCUGGCGGUAGGCCUAACACAUGCAAGUCGAACGGCAGCACAGUAAGAGCUUGCUCUUACGGGUGGCGAGUGGCGGACGGGUGAGGAAUACAUCGGAAUCUACUUUUUCGUGGGGGAUAACGUAGGGAAACUUACGCUAAUACCGCAUACGACCUACGGGUGAAAGCAGGGGAUCUUCGGACCUUGCGCGAUUGAAUGAGCCGAUGUCGGAUUAGCUAGUUGGCGGGGUAAAGGCCCACCAAGGCGACGAUCCGUAGCUGGUCUGAGAGGAUGAGCGGCCACAGGGGGAAGGAGAGGCGGCCGAUAGUCGUACGGGAGGCCGCAGUAGUGAAUCUGCGGAAAUGGACGAGAGUGUGACCGAGCAACGCCGCGGGAGUGAAGAAGGCUGGCGGAUCGUACAACUCUGUGGGGAGAGAACAACGUGGGUGAGAGUGGAAAGCUCAUCAAGGGACGGGAACGACCCGGAAAGGGAGGGCGCACUAGGUG